rnacentral:misc_RNA from 1 species
GGGGAGAGGGGAGAGAAACUGUAAAUAAUUGCAAAACUAAAAGACAAAACUACAAAUAGUUGCACUAUCCAAUGAUAAAUAAUAAUUUUUCUUAAAUAUUUAUGGCCAAAAAGGACAAAACGACUUGUAUGAUAAAAGCGAAAUUAAGAGACUAAAAAAGCUUACAAAGUACAAGAGUUAAAAUGAUAAUAACAAUAAAACUCAGAAGCUAGUACUCCGUUUGUUUUGCAUUGCAUUUUUUA